CCUAACUUACGAGUCAUGCGAGUGCUAUAAGAACCGAAGCCUUCUUCACCGUGUUGCCCACAACCUUCAGUUCAUUCAUUCUCAACACCCCUACAUCCCCUCUCACUCACCCUUUUCUGUUCAAAACACUCUCGCCGGAGACACCGCAUCGCUGCCGGAGAAGACGACCGGAAGCACCCUCCAUCGCCGGAACUUCGCCGGAGAACCCGAAGACGUCCCCAGAAGCCCGCACGCUUCUGUUUUGGAUAACAUAUCCUGUUCGUUCACUUGGAUUAUUCUCCAUCCUUGCUCGUACGUUCUUACAAGAAAGCGCAACGCAAUCAAUGUUGAUUUAUCAAGAAUUCAAGAAAACAAGCUAGGAUGGCUUUAGAAACACAUUUUAGUUAUAAACCUUGUUGAGAUUAUGUUUUGGAUAUUUGAAACUUUGUAUUGUUCCCUAGUUUUAAUAA